rnacentral:rRNA from 1 species
GAUGAACGCUGGCGGCGUGCCUAAUACAUGCAAGUCGAGCGAACAGACGAGGAGCUUGCUCCUCUGACGUUAGCGGCGGACGGGUGAGUAACACGUGGAUAACCUACCUAUAAGACUGGGAUAACUUCGGGAAACCGGAGCUAAUACCGGAUAAUAUAUUGAACCGCAUGGUUCAAUAGUGAAAGACGGUUUUGCUGUCUCUUAUAGAUGGAUCCGCGCCGCAUUAGCUAGUUGGUAAGGUAACGGCUUACCAAGGCAACGAUGCGUAGCCGACCUGAGAGGGUGAUCGGCCACACUGGAACUGAGACACGGUCCAGACUCCUACGGGAGGCAGCAGUAGGGAAUCUUACGCAAUGGGCGAAAGCUUGACGGAGCAACGCCGCGUGAGUGAUGAAGGUCUUCGGAUCGUAAAACUCUGUUAUUAGGGAAGAACAAAUGUGGAAGUAACUAUGCACGUCUUGACGGUACCGAAUCAGAAAGCCACGGCUAACUACGUG